AGAAGUUGGAAGACAUAACAAGAUGUCGGUCAAUGGCGCGGAAAUUAACGGCAGCUUGGAAAGAUCACAUUACGGUUGCGGCGGACUUCUUGUCAGCAAACGUAAGGAAACCUGAUGAAUAUAUCGAGGCUUAUGUCGCUUUAUUAAAUGAAAUGGAAUCAACUGGAG